rnacentral:lncRNA from 1 species
GUUAGAAGAAAGUUUGCCAAUUGUAUAAUCCCUUUUCUAAAAUAUCAGGAGAAAAAGGGAUAAUUUCUGAAUGUUCCAAGUGUCUUCCUCUACUAUGUAUUCCAUCCAUCCGUCCGUCUGUCCAUCUGUCCAGCCACUCACCCCUGCACUUCCAACAUUGUGUUGCCUUCUUUUGACCAAAUGCUGUACUAGGCACUGAGGAUAAAGACCCAUCUGCUAACAACCUCAAGGAAGUUCCAGUCCGGAGGGACACGGUUGUAUGAUCAGACCAUGAGCCAGAACAUUACUGUUAGAGUGGAAGCAUGUACUCAACACAAAAGGAACGAAGCCCAUGGCUUCCAGCAGCUGAGGCCGAUUGUGAGUGAGUUCAUGGAACAGUUCUUGAUAACUGCUUUAAUUCCCUUUGGGUAUAUUUUCAAGGAAAUUUAGAAACAGCAAAACCUAGAAUCCAAUUUGAUAUGUAUAAACGUUUAAUCCUUUGGGGGCGUAUUUGGUCCUUCUGUUUCUCCGCUUCUCUCCUUUACCUUCAGGCUCCUGACCUUGUGGAAGGCAGGUUGCUAGUCUGUUUCCUUUGUUUAGGGCAUCUUGUGCUUUCCCUUCCCAUCCACACCCCCUCUCACGACAGCAGACAUUUCAGGACCCCAGCGAGCUCGGGCCGGCAGAGCAAGUUGACAUGUGGGAGCGGGAGAGGUCAUCUUUCACAGAAGAGUUCAAGCUUGGAAAUAAUGGAGUUUAUAGAGAAAAGAUUUAUUUUUUAAAAGCUCUAGAUCAGAACUACUACACAGUGCUUUUAAAAAGUGUUUAAGGAAACAAAGUUUACAGACAGAAGCCCUAAGUGGAAAGGUCCUAUGGUUUUGUAGAUAGUGACUCCAGUCUUUGUUGUAUAAAGGUUGGGGGAACUGACAAGGUUUUUGUACAGUAUUUUCUCCUUCGUUGUAUUGACUUUUGUAUAAAAAUGUAACUUUACGUGUCUAACACGUAUUAAAUAUUUUGAAGCAACUUCACUGCCUCCUUGUGUGUAAAUCGCCUGUCCGGGUUGUGAGGGAAGUGGGAGGAGGGCACCUAUGGUCCUCCUGGAAAAUUGAAGAUGUGGUUCUUAAUACCGGUUGUGCAGACUGGGGACAUUGUUUGCUGACUUCAUUAAUUAUGGAGAGAGGCACAUUUAAGCUUUCUCCCUCACAUCAGAAGACUGCUGUUAGGUACUAAUAUCAGUGGUCUGCCAGUUUCUUGAAACCUGCCACUAAAACUCCCUUUUCUAAAGUCAAUUUAGGCAAUUUGAUUUUUAGCCCAAUCUGACAAUGUCCAAUAUUAAAUAGCCUAAGUGCCAACUUCUGAGGCCCUUCCCAUCCACAAAAGUGUUUUUCACUAAAACUUUUAGUUUCCUGUUAUUAAUAAAACCUGAGGGAAACUGCUGAGACUGACA